rnacentral:misc_RNA from 1 species
UCUCCGUUGGUGAACCAGCGGAGGGAUCAUUACCGAAGUUACCCUUCAAAACCCAUUGUGAACCAUACCUCUUGCCGCGUUGUCUCGGCGGGAGGCGCUGGGGCCUCGGCUCCGCGUCCCCGCCGGCGGCGCCAAACUCUAAACUGCAAAGCGUACUGCAUGUUCUGAUUUACAAAAAAAACAAGUUAAAACUUUCAACAACGGAUCUCUUGGUUCUG